AACAAUGGAACGUUAAAAAAAACAAGUGUUGGGAAUACGUAUAAAUAUCAGAACUAACAUAGGAUAGAUAUCAAUUGAUUUCGAGGCACUCAUCUCGUAAAUGUAAAUAUGUCGUUCACGCCAGCUUUUCUCGUAGCUGUCGCAGCAUUGGCUGUAUUACUUGAUGGCGCACUAGCAGAACCCCGCUACCGUCAAACCAAACGUGACACAUGGCCUGGAAAUCACCAUCAUGGCAUUUAACACCAUGGGUUUAAGGAACCCCGACCGGGGGACAGCGGCGCUAUACUAACGGGGCUUUCUAUUAACUACAAUACUGUAAACACAAUCUUAAACAAAAAUAAAUGUUUAAACAAAA